rnacentral:rRNA from 1 species
AAAAACCCGCACGCCGGAAGACCAAGGGUUCCUGUCCAACGUUAAUCGGGGCAGGGUGAGUCGACCCCUAAGGCGAGGCCGAAAGGCGUAGUCGAUGGGAAACAGGUUAAUAUUCCUGUACUUGGUGUUACUGCGAAGGGGGGACGGAGAAGGCUAUGUCGGCCGGGCGACGGUUGUCCCGGUUUAAGCAUGUAGGCGGAGGUUCCAGGUAAAUCCGGUACCUUUUAACGCUGAGGUGUGAUGACGAGGCACUACGGUGCUGAAGUGACAAAUGCCCUGCUUCCAGGAAAAGCCUCUAAGCAUCAGGUAACACGAAAUCGUACCCCAAACCGACACAGGUGGUCAGGUAGAGAAUACCAAGGCGCUUGAGAGAACUCGGGUGAAGGAACUAGGCAAAAUGGUGCCGUAACUUCGGGAGAAGGCACGCUGAUAUGUAGGUGAAGUGAUUUACUCAUGGAGCUGAAAUCAGUCGAAGAUACCAGCUGGCUGCAACUGUUUAUUAAAAACACAGCACUGUGCAAACACGAAAGUGGACGUAUACGGUGUGACGCCUGCCCGGUGCCGGAAGGUUAAUUGAUGGGGUUAUCCGUAAGGAGAAGCUCUUGAUCGAAGCCCCGGUAAACGGCGGCCGUAACUAUAACGGUCCUAAGGUAGCGAAAUUCCUUGUCGGGUAAGUUCCGACCUGCACGAAUGGCGUAAUGAUGGCCAGGCUGUCUCCACCCGAGACUCAGUGAAAUUGAACUCGCUGUGAAGAUGCAGUGUACCCGCGGCAAGACGGAAAGACCCCGUGAACCUUUACUAUAGCUUGACACUGAACACUGGUCCUUGAUGUGUAGGAUAGGUGGGAGGCUUUGAAGUGUGGACGCCAGUCUGCAUGGAGCCGUCCUUGAAAUACCACCCUUUAAUGGCUGGUGUUCUAACGUGGGCCCGUAAUCCGGGUUGCGGACAGUGUCUGGUGGGUAGUUUGACUGGGGCGGUCUCCUCCCAAAGAGUAACGGAGGAGCACGAAGGUUAGCUAAUCCUGGUCGGACAUCAGGAGGUUAGUGCAAAGGCAUAAGCUAGCUUGACUGCGAGAGUGACGGCUCGAGCAGGUGCGAAAGCAGGUCUUAGUGAUCCGGUGGUUCUGAAUGGAAGGGCCAUCGCUCAACGGAUAAAAGGUACUCCGGGGAUAACAGGCUGAUACCGCCCAAGAGUUCAUAUCGACGGCGGUGUUUGGCACCUCGAUGUCGGCUCAUCACAUCCUGGGGCUGAAGUAGGUCCCAAGGGUAUGGCUGUUCGCCAUUUAAAGUGGUACGCGAGCUGGGUUUAGAACGUCGUGAGACAGUUCGGUCCCUAUCUGCCGUGGGCGCUGGAGAAUUGAGGGGGGCUGCUCCUAGUACGAGAGGACCGGAGUGGACGCAUCACUGGUGUUCGGGUUGUCAUGCCAAUGGCACUGCCCGGUAGCUAAAUGCGGAAGAGAUAAGUGCUGAAAGCAUCUAAGCACGAAACUUGCCCCGAGAUGAGUUCUCCCUGAGACUUAAAGUCUCCUGAAGGAACGUUGAAGACGACGACGUUGAUAGGUCGGGUGUGUAAGUGUAGCGAUACAUUGAGCUAACCGAUACUAAUGAACCGUGAGGCUUAACCUU